rnacentral:tRNA from 1 species
AAGACUUUAAGUUAAAUAAACUAUGAGCCUUCAAAGCUCGAAAUAAAAAAGUAUUUUUAAGUCUUG